GGGGUUUUGGCCUAGUGGUUAAGUCAUCUGAGUAGCACUUUUAAGGUUCUGGGUUCGACUUCCGGUAGCAGCA